CCUAGUCAGCCUGAAGAAGUUACAGAAGAUGCAUCUUUGUUCCUCUACAACCCUUAGGAUUAAGGGUUCUCUUAUAAAAGCGCGGGGCUGGGGAGGGGAAUAUGUCAGAGGUGUUCAAACCAGAGCAAGUCCAUCUUGAAUAGGGGCUGAAGAUUAAAAACAAGGCAAGAUUUUCUGCUCCCAUGACUUCUAUUUAAUAUUGUAUUGGAGGUUCUAACCAUGCCAUCAAACAAGAAAAAGAAAUAAAAGGUAAUCAGGUAGGACCCAGAAUGGCAAAAACAACUUUCAACAAGAAAAAAAUUAGAAGACUUACAGUACAUGACUUUAAGACUUAUAACACUAUAAUGAUCAAGACAAUGUGCUAUUGGCAACAAGACAGACAAAUGGACCAAUGGAACAGUUCAUCCAUACUCAACAUGGAUGAAUCUUUUUUUUUUUUUUUUUUUUUUUUUUUUUUUUUGAAAAAGAAAGAGUUUUGCUCUUGUUGCCCAGGCUGGAGUGCAAUGGCACGAUCUUGGCUCACCGCAACCUCCGCCUCCCGGGUUCAAGCAAUUCUCCUGCCUCAGCCUCCCGAGUAGCUGGGACUACAGGCAUGUGCCACCAUGCCUGGCUAAUUUUGUAUUUUUAGUAGAGACGGGGUUUCUCCAUGUUGGUCAGGCUGGUCUUGAAC
rnacentral:lncRNA from 1 species